AAUAACAAGCGGUUAAAUUUUUAGAGAUUUUCGCAAAAUUGUUUGAAAAUUUGACCGCUUGUUUUUUUA
rnacentral:antisense_RNA from 1 species